rnacentral:rRNA from 1 species
GACGAACGCUGGCGGCGUGCUUAAUACAUGCAAGUCGAACGGACAGGCCCUGCUCUUGUGGGGUGCUCGUGUGGCGAACGCGUGAGAAACACGCGAGUAUACUGCACUUGACUUAGGGAUAACUUUAGGAAACUGGGGCUAAUAUAGGAUAGGAGCUCUUGCAGCAUGGUGGGGGUUGGUAAGUUUCGGCGGUGGGGGAUGGACUCGCGGGUUAUGAGCUUCAUGGUGGGGUAGUGGAUUACAAAGGUUUUGACGGGUAGCCGGCCUGAGAGUGUGACCAGGCACAAUGGGACUAAGAGACGGACCAGUCUGCUAUGGGACGCAGCAGUGGAGAAUAUUGCACAGUAGGCGGAAGUCAGAUACAGCAACGCCGCGUGCGGAAUGACGUCCUACUGGUGGUAAACCGCUUUCGCCGUUAACAAAGCGGUAUUGACGGUAAUUGGUAAGAAAGCACCGGCUAACUACGUG